UUGUGGAUAAUGGCUGUGGGCAUGAUGAUGCAAGCUUGCCAGGCGCAGUGUUUAAAACCAAUGUUAAGCUUGAUUUAGCCACUGCAUUAUAAGGAGAGAAGCAGAAACCCUGACUAAAGUAAAGAUGAUUUGCAUAACAAAGGCAGAUGAAUAAAUCACAAGAGUCCAAAGUUUUGAUGACCAUGCAGAGUCGAGAUAUUGAAACAAAGACAUGUCUGCACUGUUCACUCAAUUUUUCAGAAUAACGUGUCAAAUUGAAAUCCAUCUUAUGUUGGACUAAACAAUCAGGACAUUUUUCUGGAUCAC